rnacentral:lncRNA from 1 species
UGCACCCUGCACGUCUGGGCUUGAAGACAGAAAGCCACCGUGAGGUGCUCCAAGGAACACUGAUGGGCAGUUUUGUUAAAGUGAUUGAACUCCGUGGGUACAGGAGUACGUGGAGUAAUGAAGGAUAAUGCCCUGUAACCGCUUCCUCUUAGGAAUGCUAGCUUUCACAAUUGUGCAAACGCAUAAGGAAUAAAACUGUUCUUUUGAAAUGAAGAAGAGAACCACCUAGGAGACUAUCACCCUGACCUGAGGACUUCACUAGGGAUUCAGGAAAGAAGACACAGAAAGAAAGCAAUCCUCAAGGAUCAGAAUGGCCAGCAGGAGGCCAUAUGCACCUAAACCAGAUGGAAGAAAAUGGCCCGGGGUGACCAGCUGGCUCUCUUUAUCAAGCUCAGACUCCUCAAGUCCCCGCUUGGAAGAACAGUCACAGAUUCCAUAUACAGA